rnacentral:rRNA from 1 species
GAUGAACGCUGGCGGCGUGCUUAACACAUGCAAGUCGAACGGUGAAGGCGGAGCUUGCUCUGCUGGAUCAGUGGCGAACGGGUGAGUAACACGUGAGCAAUCUGCCCCUGACUCUGGGAUAAGCGCUGGAAACGGCGUCUAAUACUGGAUACGAGCUGCGAAGGCAUCUUCAGCAGCUGGGAAGAAUUUCGGUCAGGGAUGAGCUCGCGGCCUAUCAGCUUGUUGGUGAGGUAAUGGCUCACCAAGGCUUCGACGGGUAGCCGGCCUGAGAGGGUGACCGGCCACACUGGGACUGAGACACGGCCCAGACUCCUACGGGAGGCAGCAGUGGGGAAUAUUGCACAAUGGGCGAAAGCCUGAUGCAGCAACGCCGCGUGAGGGACGACGGCCUUCGGGUUGUAAACCUCUUUUAGCAGGGAAGAAGCGAAAGUGACGGUACCUGCAGAAAAAGCGCCGGCUAACUACGUG